CCACUUCAGGCGAGACCACAUAUGGCUCGAUGGGGACCCAUCACACGCAUCCUUACGUGGCCAGCACGGGAACCCCGACGUGGGAGGAGCAGGGAACACAGAGAGCCGAGGAACAGGUGAUCUCCAGGCCCCCCGGCCGUCCCUCGCAGGGUGAAGAGACCCGAGAAAACCCGUGCUCCCGCCCCCGCGUGGGGUCCCGACCGGGAGCGUUUCGGAGGCCCGGUGGUCACCAUGGGAAUUGCCCAAUGUCACGGUUUCCGUCCAGUGACUCACAGGCACCAGGCUCCUCGCUUCCCUACAGGUGCUACCACACAGAGCAGCAGAAAAGAAGAAAAUGAAAGCAACUCCACCUGGGAAGCAGGAACGAGACCCCAGGGCCUCCAGCCGACCGAGCUGCAGAGCAGGAGCGCCA